rnacentral:rRNA from 1 species
UAGUCCACGCCGUAAACGAUGAGAACUAGAUGUCGGAAGGGUUUAGCCUUUCGGUGUCGCAGCUAACGCGUUAGGUUCUCCGCCUGGGGAGUACGGUCGCAAGACUAAAACUCAAAGGAAUUGACGGGGACCCGCACAAGCGGUGGAGCAUGUGGUUUAAUUCGAUGCAACGCGAAGAACCUUACCUGCCCUUGACAUUGACAGAAUCCUUUAGAGAUAGAGGAGUGCUUCGGCCUGGAAAACAGGUGCUGCAUGGCUGUCGUCAGCUCGUGUCGUGAGAUGUUGGGUUAAGUCCCGCAACGAGCGCAACCCUUAUUUUUAGUUGCCAUUUGGAACUCUAGAAAGACUGCCGGUUAUAAACCGGAGGAAGGCGGGGAUGACGUCAAGUCAGCAUGCCCCUUACACCCUGGGCUACACACGUGCUACAAUGGGCAAGACAAUUAGUUGCAAGCUUGUGAAAGUUAGCUAAUCUCUAAACUUGUUCUAAGUUCGGAUUGUAGGCUGCAACUCGCCUACA